CCUACGGGUGGCAGCAGUGAGGAAUAUUGGUCAAUGGACGCGAGUCUGAACCAGCCAAGUAGCGUGAAGGAUGACUGCCCUCUGGGUUGUAAACUUCUUUUAUAUGGGAAUAAAACGUUCCACGUGUGGGAUUUUGUAUGUACCAUAUGAAUAAGGAUCGGCUAACUCCGUGCCAGCAGCCGCGGUAAUACGGAGGAUCCGAGCGUUAUCCGGUUUUAUUGGGUUUAAAGGGAGCGUAGGUGGAUUGUUAAGUCAGUUGUGAAAGGUUGCGGCUCAACCGUAAAAGUGCAGUUGAAACUGGCAGUCUUGAGUACAGUAGAGGUGGGCGGAAUUCGUGGUGUAGCGGUGAAAGGGUUAGAAAACACGAAGAACUCCGAUGGCGAAGGCAGUGCACUGGACUGCAACUGACACUGAGGCUCGAAAGUGUGGGGAUCAAACAGGAUUAGAUACCCGAGUAGUC
rnacentral:rRNA from 1 species